GACGAACGCUGGCGGCGUGCUGUACACAUGCAAGUCGAACGGUGAAGGUGGAGCUUGCUCCGCCGGAUCAGUGGCGAACGGGUGAGUAACACGUGGGCAACCUGCCCCUAACUUUGGGAUAACUACUCGAAAGAGUAGCUAAUACCGGAUAUGAAGUCUGUAGGCAUCUAUGGAUUUGGAAAGUUUUUCGGUUAGGGAUGGGCCCGUGGCCUAUCAACUUGUUGGUGAGGUAGUGGCUCACCAAGGCGACGGCGGGUAGCCGGCCUGAGAGGGCGACCGGCCGCAAUGAGACAGAGAGCCGGCCCAAGCUCCGACGGGAGGGAGCAGUGGGUAAUAUUGCGCAAUGGGCGAAAGCCUGACGCAGCAACGCCGCGUGCGGGAGUAAGGCCUUCGGGUUGUAAACCGCUUUCAGCAGGGAAGAAGCGAAAGUGACGGUACCUGCAGAAGAAGCACCGGCUAACUACGUUCCAGCAGCCGCCGUAA
rnacentral:rRNA from 1 species